CCCUCCACUGGAAGGCUUGCCGGCUGGAAGCUCAGGGCUCUCUCCGCUGGGCAUGGGAAGCCCUGCUCAGAGGACAGCUCCUCGUCCUGCUUUAUCGUGUGAAUAGGGCUGUUCCUCACUUGAGCAACGGCACACAGUAGGUGGUCAGGAAAGGCUGAAUAAGUGGGUGAAUAAAUGGGUGAGCAGAUAGGGCUCAGACACACACUACUGUAUAAAACAGGGAAUCACGAGGAAUCCUAUCCUGGAAUCGGAUCCACGGUGUAUUUACUGAGCAGCCAUCCUGCCAGGCUCCGCCGAGGUGACCCGGAAGGCACUGGCAUUGGGAGAGGGGACCAUGGGUUUGGGUCUGGAGGCAGGACCUGUCUUCAGUUCUGGGUUACUUAAUGCAUGACUCAGGGCUCUUCUCCUAGUCCCAAAUGGGGAGGAGGAUAAGACUGACCUCACAGGGCUGUGUGUGAAAGCUGAAACUCCAUACAUACAUGUCGGCCGAUGUUAAUAUAACUACUCACAUGCAACCAGUAAAUUCUAAGCCCGGACUUCAGGGUCCCUGCCUUCAGGGACUGAGUUCACAGGCGCCUCUGUGGGCAACAUACUCUCCGGAAGGGGCGCCAGGGCUAACACUUGGACGAUGGUCCGCAGGAUCAGAAGCCUCUAGGGGACAGCGCCCCCUUCCCGGCCGCGGGAGUCCCCUUCCCCGCCUGCAGCCUCAGGCGCUCUCAGUGCGCGGUUGCAGGAGGCAGAGUGCACGCCGUCAGGCACCAGAGAGCGCGAGAGCCUGGAUUGUGAAGGACGCGGGCGUUAAACGCCGUGUUGCCAGGAGGGCCUCCGCCCCGAGCGCGUGAGCUGUGAGCACGCAGGAACUCGGGCUCUCUCGCUCUCUCCCUUUCUUGAUUUCUUCAUUGACUUGCAUCUACUCAUUGAUUCACCUGAGCAACUUUAUGCAAACGCGCUCUCGUGCGGGUGGCGCUCAGGGGUGCUGAGUAGCUGUGACCCCGGCUGUCUCUCGGACCUUCAGUACCUGAGCUCCGCAUGGACCUCAAGCGUCCCCAAAGCCCGGGGCUCAGAGGGCUGAGCGAGAGGGGCCAGGACUGGCGUCCUCCGAGGCAUCCCCAUACCUGUCUGGCCAGCGCUGGGCCCAGGACCUGUCUGGCCAGUUGUUGGCGAGGUGGAUUCAGGGCAACUAUGCCAAGAAGGACUGAGAUGUGUAAGUCUGCGGUGCCAGGUCCUGCAGGUGCUUGGACCCGCUUUGGGAUGGGAUGGGGGUUCCCACAGCCAUGGAGAGUAGAGCCGAGGGUUUGCCAUGUGAUGAUUCAGGGGGGCAGUAGACCUGUCUGCUCACACACUGAGCCAUACUCUUGCAGCAUGUAUUGUGCGAACUCUCCCCUCUCUCUCAAAUGACUUUUUUCCUUCUUCCCUUUUCUAUUUCCUCCUUCCCUGCUUCACUGCUCACCUCCUUCCCUUUCUAGCCUCCGCCCUCUCUCCUCC